GAAGCCCCAGUAAACGGCGGCCGUAACUAUAACGGUCCUAAGGUAGCGAAAUUCCUUGUCGGGUAAGUUCCGACCCGCACGAAUGGUGUAACGAUUUGGGCACUGUCUCAACCCGGGGCUCGGCGAAAUUGCAGUAGCGGUGAAGAUACCGUUUUCCCGUGGAAGGACAGAAAGACCCCGUGGACCUUUACUGCAGCUUGAUAUUGGGUUCCGCCGUGGCGUGUGUAGGAUAGGCGGGAGACUUUGAAGCCCGGUCGCCAGAUCGGGUGGAGUCAACGUUGAAAUACCGUCCUCGUUUCGUUGGAACUCUAACACGGGUCCGUGAUCCGGAUCGUGGACAGUGUCUGGUGGGCAGUUUGACUGGGGUGGUCGCCUCCCAAAAAGUAACGGAGGCGCCCAAAGGUUCCCUCAGCGCGGUCGGUAAUCGCGCGUCGAGUGCAAAGGCACAAGGGAGCUUGACUGCGAGACGGACAGGUCGAGCAGGUACGAAAGUAGGGCUUAGUGAUCCUGCGGUCCCGAGUGGAAGGGCCGUGGCUCAACGGAUAAAAGGUACCCCGGGGAUAACAGGCUGAUCGCCACCGAGAGUUCACAUCGACGUGGCGGUUUGGCACCUCGAUGUCGGCUCAAUGCAUCCUGGGGCUGAACAAGGUCCCAAGGGUUCGGCUGUUCGCCGAUUAAAGCGUUACGCGAGCUGGGUUUAGAACGUCGUGAGACAGUUCGGUCUCUAUCCUCCACGGGUGUAGGAAGCUUGAGGGGAUCUGUCUUCAGUACGAGAGGACCGAGACGGACGCACCUCUAGUGUACCAGUUGUCCCGCCAGGGGCACCGCUGGGUAGCUACGUGCGGACCAGGAUAAGCGCUGAAAGCAUCUAAGUGCGAAACCGGCCCCAAAACUAGGCUUCCCGACCGAAAGGUCCUCAAGGCCACUCGGAGAUUACGAGUUUGAUAGGCCGCAGGUGUAAGCACAGUAAUGUGUUCAGCCGAGCGGUACUAAUCGGCCGUGCGGCUUCAUUAC
rnacentral:rRNA from 1 species